GGAAUAUUGCACAAUGGGCGAAAGCCUGAUGCAGCAACGCCGCGUGAGUGAUGAAGGUCUUCGGAUUGUAAAGCUCUGUCUUUUGGGACGAUAAUGACGGUACCAAAGGAGGAAGCCACGGCUAACUACGUGCCAGCAGCCGCGGUAAUACGUAGGUGGCGAGCGUUGUCCGGAUUUACUGGGCGUAAAGGGUGCGUAGGCGGAUGUUUAAGUGAGAUGUGAAAUACCCGGGCUUAACUUGGGUGCUGCAUUUCAAACUGGAUAUCUAGAGUGCAGGAGAGGAGAAUGGAAUUCCUAGUGUAGCGGUGAAAUGCGUAGAGAUUAGGAAGAACACCAGUGGCGAAGGCGAUUCUCUGGACUGUAACUGACGCUGAGGCACGAAAGCGUGGGUAGCAAACAGGAUUAGAUACCCUGGUAGUCCACGCCGUAAACGAUGAGUACUAGGUGUAGGAGGUAUCGACCCCUUCUGUGCCGCAGUAAACACAUUAAGUACUCCGCCUGGGAAGUACGAUCGCAAGAUUAAA
rnacentral:rRNA from 1 species